GAGGGUGUAGCUCAGUGGUAGAGUGCCUGCCUAGCAUGCAUGAGGUCCUGGGUUCAACCCCCAGCACCUCUU
rnacentral:tRNA from 1 species